rnacentral:lncRNA from 1 species
AGCCCCUAGCGCAGACGGCGGAGAGCAGAGAGGGAGCGCGCCUUGGCUCGCUGGCCUUGGCGGCGGCUCCUCAGGAGAGCUGGGGCGCCCACGAGAGGAUCCCUCACCCGGGUCUCUCCUCAGGGAUGACAUCAUCCGUCCACCUCCUUGUCUUCAAGGACCACCUCCUCUCCAUGCUGAGCUGCUGCCAAGGGGCCUGCUGCCCAUCUACACCUCACGAGGGCACUAGGAGCACGGUUUCCUGGAUCCCACCAACAUACAAAGCAGCCACUCACUGACCCCCAGGACCAGGAUGGCAAAGGAUGAAGAGGACCGGAACUGACCAGCCAGCUGUCCCUCUUACCUAAAGACUUAAACCAAUGCCCUAGUGAGGGGGCAUUGGGCAUUAAGCCCUGACCUUUGCUAUGCUCAUACUUUGACUCUAUGAGUACUUUCCUAUAAGUCUUUGCUUGUGUUCACCUGCUAGCAAACUGGAGUGUUUCCCUCCCCAAGGGGGUGUCAGUCUUUGUCGACUGACUCUGUCAUCACCCUUAUGAUGUCCUGAAUGGAAGGAUCCCUUUGGGAAAUUCUCAGGAGGGGGACCUGGGCCAAGGGCUUGGCCAGCAUCCUGCUGGCAACUCCAAGGCCCUGGGUGGGCUUCUGGAAUGAGCAUGCUACUGAAUCACCAAAGGCACGCCCGACCUCUCUGAAGAUCUUCCUAUCCUUUUCUGGGGGAAUGGGGUCGAUGAGAGCAACCUCCUAGGGUUGUUGUGAGAAUUAAAUGAGAUAAAAGAGGCCUCAGGCAGGAUCUGGCAUAGAGGAGGUGAUCAGCAAAUGUUUGUUGAAAAGGUUUGACAGGUCAGUCCCUUCCCACCCCUCUUGCUUGUCUUACUUGUCUUAUUUAUUCUCCAACAGCACUCCAGGCAGCCCUUGUCCACGGGCUCUCCUUGCAUCAGCAGGUUCCCAGUGCCCCCGACAAGCCCCUGCUGGUGUCUCCAUCUCCUGCCAAGCAUCCUCCAGUGCCUCCUCCUGUGGGCCUGGCCUCAGGGCUAUGGACAGACUCCUGUCCCAUCCCAGAGACCCCUCGUGAUCGUGCCCUGGCACGUGGGCCGUGGCCCGGCUGGGUCGGCUGAAGAACUGCGGAUGGAAGCUGCGGAAGAGGCCCUGAUGGGGCCCACCAUCCCGGACCCAAGUCUUCUUCCUGGCGGGCCUCUCGUCUCCUUCCUGGUUUGGGCGGAAGCCAUCACCUGGAUGCCUACGUGGGAAGGGACCUCGAAUGUGGGACCCCAGCCCCUCUCCAGCUCGAAAUCCCUCCACAGCCACGGGGACACCCUGCACCUAUUCCCACGGGACAGGCUGGACCCAGAGACUCUGGACCCGGGGCCUCCCCUUGAGUAGAGACCCGCCCUCUGACUGAUGGACGCCGCUGACCUGGGGUCAGACCCGUGGGCUGGACCCCUGCCCACCCCGCAGGAACCCUGAGGCCUAGGGGAGCUGUUGAGCCUUCAGUGUCUGCAUGUGGGAAGUGGGCUCCUUCACCUACCUCACAGGGCUGUUGUGAGGGGCGCUGUGAUGCGGUUCCAAAGCACAGGGCUUGGCGCACCCCACUGUGCUCUCAAUAAAUGUGUUUCCUGUCUUAACAAAAAAAAAAAAAAAAAAAAAAAAAAAAAAAAAAAA